AAAGCAAAUUCGUUCGGGACGACACAGCAGUCAGACCAUCAUUCUGCUGCUACCAUGCUGGACAGGACAGGUUAGAAAAAAGCACUACAUCCAUGCAUUUCCAACAGAAUGUCACUGUUUUGACAUUUUUUUUCUAUUAAGUGUUUCUAUUGCUCAUCUUGUCUUUCAGGUAAAGUUGCUUCCCAUACAAACCCUCUCUGCAACUGACAGAACAGAGGAGACAAAAUUGGGAUUCAACCUUGAUGCAUCAAUGGUAUAAGUCUUGAACAAAUCCCCCCCAAAAAGGGAUGUGAGAAGCUCCUCUAAGAAGCAAAAGUGAAUGCAGGCUGCCAGGAGCAUCAGGCAAAUCUCCUCACCUCCCAGGCUACUGCAGGAUGUUUUUCCUGCCGAACAGUGGCAGGAUUUGGCCUAACACCAAGAGCCAUGAUUUAGAAAUACUUACAGGUGACACAGAGAAAGAAGGAGAGGAAGUGGCUUUGCUCAAAGAAUACGAGUCUGCAUAAAGACACUUGCAGCCAGGUUGUGGAUACUUGUGGAACUGAGGCUGAUCAAAGAAGCUCUGAGUUUGGCUCAGUGCAACCGCUGGCAGCCUGAGGAGUAUCAGCCCAGCUCUGGCUUCAGUCAAAAGAUGAUUUCAGCAAAUGUUACACCACAAGCUCCUCCAGAUCAAAGACACCACAUUUGCAACAGCAGAGACACUCUGGCCCUUCUCAAAAUGGCAGCAAGCAAAUAUUAGGUUGGUAUACUAAAGAGUUCAGUCAUCAGUCCAACAUGACAGAUCAACAUAAGACAAGAGAUCAGUCAAUAAAAGUAAGCAGAGGAUGGAGGAUAGUUUACACAUAUAAUGCUGUGAUGACGCCUCAUUUCUUUCUGGCAGAAGGAUGCUGACGCACUGAGGCAGACAACACGCUCUGAUCUGACUGACCUUCCAGACAGGUCUGAUAAGAAAGCAGCGCAGAGAGUGGCUUUAAAGUAAGAUAUCCACUUUAGAAGUUAAAAGUGGUGACUUGCUGGAUCAGUAGUUAAAAAGAGAUGCAAAGAGAUGAUUCUGCAACCAAAGCCACAGAAUAACAGAAGCCUACUCAUCACUUUAAUGGACUAAAGAUGUGGAUAGAAACAGACCAAAGCAAAUCUAGAAAUUAGGCCAUUCUUAGACUCAACAGCAUGAAACC